UUCCGUUUUCUGUAUCUCACUUCCGCAAUGGUCCCCACCUUGCCUGGAGACCAAGCUUUCUUUGCAGGCCUCAUCAAGUGUGCUUGUGGCUUCAUCAAUAAAAUUUGGAAGCAAUUAAUUUGGAGGAGGAAAGAGUCUAAGUAAGAUGCCUAACAGAUCUUGGUGCGUUGACAACCUUGAAACUUGAUGUUAAUGGACAGGUACAAAGAUGAAGAUGAGCUGAACAGUCUUAGUGGUUGAAGCUGCUGCAUGUAAGAUAAGCAUGUUAAAUCCAUGCCAUGUAUACUGCAAAUCCCAAUCCUGUGCACAAAGCAGGCAUUGCUAAGAAGACCCUGCUGUAUUUAAAAAGCCUAGAUGCACUGAUAGAACCCUCAACACAGGACUCCAGCCAUGGACUACCAUUGGUUCAGAGCUGCCAGUCCAGUAGUAGCUUAUGCAUCACCUACGGUAGAGUGGAAACUCUCCUGCACACGCCAGUCACUCCAAGGGCACUUUAAUUAAAACCACACAAAAUUUUUGUAGAUAACAAUAAACUUGAUUAUGGAUAAAUCAUGAAAUCAAUAAAUAUAGAGUUCCUGGUACUCACCACCACCACCCCUUCUCUAAUUUUUUUUCAAAU
rnacentral:lncRNA from 1 species